AUGGAGCUUUUACAUUUUAUGUACAGUGGCAAGUUCACAUCAACUGAGCCCACUCUGUUGGUUGAUAUCCUGAUGGCUGCUGACAAAUUUGAGGUUGUCUCUUGCAUGAAGCUUUGCGGUCAGCAGCUCAUAGACCUGCCUAUGACCCCAGAAUUGGCAGUGAGGUGCCUAGAUCUCCCAUGUUCCAUUUCAGUUGCAACUGACCUGAUAGAGGCAGCCAAGAAAUUCCUUGCAAACAGAUACAAGAAUUUCCUGUCAACAAAGUUUCAGGAUGAACUUAUGAGAAUCCCUCUCCCUGGGAUUGUGGCCAUCUUAUCAAGGAAUCACCCUGGUGUUGCAUCUGAAGAAUCCGUCUAUGACUUCGUUCUUAGGUGGGCCCACUUCCAGUACCCAAAUAUAGAAAGAAGACACAAGAUUUUGAGUUCAAGUUUACUUCCGCUGGUGCCACUAGUGCGUAAUAUGACCAAUGCCAUCCUAAUUGAUCAGCCUUCUUGUAUAAUGAACUUUACCCGUCAGGAUUGA
rnacentral:rRNA from 1 species